AACGCGAAGAACCUUACCCAGGUUUGACAUGCAGAGGACGAUACUAGAAACAGUAUUUCCCUUCGGGGCCUCUGCACAGGUGCUGCAUGGCUGUCGUCAGCUCGUGCCGUGAGGUGUUUGGUUAAGUCCAGCAACGAGCGCAACCCUUAUCAUUAGUUGCCAACAUUUCGGAUGGGAACUCUAAUGAGACUGCCCGGGUUAACCGGGAGGAAGGUGAGGAUGAUGUCAAGUCCGCAUGGCCCUUAUACCUGGGGCAACACACGUGCUACAAUGGUCGGUACAGAAGGCAGCGAAGUCGUGAGAUGGAGCAAAUCCCCAAAGCCGGCCUCAGUUCAGAUUGUAGUCUGCAACUCGACUACAUGAAGACGGAAUUGCUAGUAAUGGCGGGUCAGCACACCGCCGUGAAUACGUUCCCGGGCUUGUACACACCGCAUAC
rnacentral:rRNA from 1 species